CCAGAAUUUGCGAGUAUAAAUGGUUGGGAAUUGUCUGUGGCCUGACACUCACAUUACGCAUUUUUCGAAAACCCAACUCUCCUGUCUCCGUCUCUAAAAUAAACACAAAUUUGAAGUUCUCUCUUGCUCGUUUGAGUUCCGAACGCAGAGAGAGAGAGAGAGCUGCCAUGGGUAGGCCUCCGAGCAACGGAGGCCCUACCUUCCGCUUCGUCCAGUCUGAGGUUACGGAGAUGGAAGCUAUUCUGCAACAAUACAAUAACACAAUGCCAUCACGUGAAGUGCUUAUGGCCGUUGCGGAUAAGUUCAGUGAAUCACCGGAGCGAAAGGGCAAGAUUACAGUACAAAUGAAGCAAGUUUGGAAUUGGUUCCAAAAUAGGCGAUAUGCUAUUAGGGCAAAAUCAAGCAAGGUUCUUGGUAAGUUAGACAUGUCACCUAUGUCUCGCGAUGAUUCAGCUGCAGCAAGAAAUGUUCCUCAAGGCCCUCAGCAGAUUGCUGCUCCUGUACAUGUUCCUUCUGUUCCAGGAUCAGGAAAGGGUGCUUCUGAAAAUGCUAUCUUUGAGUUUGAAGCUAAAUCUGGGAGGGACGGUGCAUGGUAUGAUGUUGCAAACUUUUUAUCUCAUAAAAAUUUGGAGACUGUUAAUCCGGAAGUUCUGGUUCGGUUUGCUGGAUUUGGACCAGAGGAGGAUGAGUGGGUUAAUGUACGAAAGCAUGUCAGGCAGCGGUCUCUCCCAUGUGAAUCAUCCGAGUGCGUUGCAGUUCUCCCCGGAGAUCUCAUACUAUGCUUUCAGGAAGGUAAAGAGCAGGCUUUGUACUUUGAUGCCCAUGUCCUUGAUGCUCAAAGACGAAGACAUGAUGUAAGAGGAUGUCGAUGUAGGUUUCUAGUGCGCUAUGUUCAUGAUCAGUCCGAGGUACGUUCAUUUGGUCACCAAACAGUUAUUGUCCAAAUGGGACACUGCAUCCCCGAACAACAAGGGAACUUUUCGUUUGCACUUAAUGUAUCGGACACAUUGACAGAAAUUGUUCCACUGAGAAAGGUCUGCCGUCGGCCUGAAACAGAUUACAGGUUGCAACAACUUCAUGCUGUGAACGAGGCAAUAUCAGCGGAGCAGAAAAGUAUGGAGCAAUAUAUGGCGUCUGCUACUUCUGGCGAAAUGAUGCAAAAGCAGCAGAAUGCCGUGCCCCCAACUUUUUAUGUUACUGCUUCUUUACCUACCCAAACUACAACUCCAGAGUUGAGAAGAUCUGAAAUCAGCACCGUUGUUAGAUCAGGGAAUUCUAGUGCCCCUCUAAGUAGUAGUACCGUAAUCACAAGCGCGCCGGCUACGGUCGUGGCUCCCGGUGGCUCGGUCUCGACUGUGCCAAAGGGAAAUUAGUAGGUUGCUUUUGACAAAUUUGUGAGCCCCUUUUGUGUCAACACAGUUGUCAUCGUAUGAGUUUCCCCUGUAUACUAAUUUCUGAAUGACAAGAAUGGUUGGAAAGAACCACCCCAACUUUUGAACAUUGCAAUACCAACUUACGAAUCUGUUAUAAUGUUGAA